rfam:Mus musculus chromosome 10, GRC primary reference assembly.
AUAUGAAAGUAGUCUGACUACCACAUCUGUCACAUCAUUAUUCUGUAGUGAAGGUUCUUUGGAUCUGGCUCAGUAGGAAAGUGUGGUCUUCAUUUCUCACUGCUUCAAAUGUGCCCCUAAUAUAAAUGCGUGCAUCAUCAAAGACAAUGACACUUCUCAAUAGAGAAGGACCAAUCUUUGGUCAAGAGCACAUUGUAGUUAUACUCUCCUGCUUGAACCUCCAAACAACUUCCAUCUAUGGUUUUGAUUAAAAGAAAACGAUUUCACACCCAAAUUUCAUUU